rnacentral:lncRNA from 1 species
UGUACUGUCAUAUGUAACUAAAACAAAAAAGAAAAAAAUUUCUUGCAAAAUAAUAAAUAAACACCCCACACACCAAUAAGAAAAAUACCAUUUUGAACAGAAGAUAUCAAUGUAUAAUCCCUAGAAAAUACAAAUGGCUCUUUUUAAAAAUUUUUAAAAUAUUUCUUUUUUAUUUGUUCUAAUUAGUUAUACAUAGCAGUAGAAGCAAAUGUCUCUUAAACAUAGUGGAGGAUGUGAAAUAAAACUCAUGAUAAGAGAAAUGCAAACUAAAAUUUCACUGAGCUAUAUUUUAUCUACCAAAAUUUCCAACACCAAAAGGUUUGAGAGUAUGAAACCAGCCAUUCUCACUCAUUUUGGUGAGAGUACAGAUUGAUAGAGACCUCAUGGAAGGUAAUUUGUGAUUUACAAAAAAUUUUUAAAGUCUCAUAUCUUUUCAUCAGGUCAUUUACUUAAAAAUUAAAAUAUUUGUACAUAUGUCAGGGAUGUAUAAACAAUAAAUGAAACAUAGGCCUGUUUUGUUUACAAUAUCAAAAUAUGAGUAACACUCACAGUGGCCAUCAAUAUUGUGUGGUGUAAUUAUGGUCUAUUCAAACAAUGGAAUCAUGUGCUGCUGUUAAAAACAAACAAACAAACAAAUAAAUAAAUAAAUAACACAAAACUGAUAUGGAAGGACUUCCAAGGUAUAUUAAAUUUUUAAAAUAUAAAUAAUAUAUGUUAGUAUGAAAGCAAAGUAUCUACCUUUCGUCUAUCUUGAGUCUACUACCUAGAAGACCCUCACCCUUGAUCUUCCUGCUGUAUGCCCUUCCUUCCUCUGUUCUUCCAGAAUCAUUACUUCGUCCCUUGGCUGGUAGAUCCAAGUCUUACUUGUCCCUUGUCCUUAAAUUCCUUAGGAAAAAAGGCA